UACCUGCAGCUCGAGUGGUAACCGCUAUUAUUGGGCCUAAAGCGUCCGUAGCCGGUUUGGUAAAUAUCUGGGUAAAUCGUGAGGCUUAACUUCACGAAUUUCGGAUAGACUGCCAGACUUGGGAUCGGGGGAGGUCAGAGGUACUCCAGGGGUAGCGGUGAAAUGUUGUAUCCUUGGAGGACCACCGGUAGCGAAGGCGUCUGACUAGAACGAGUCCGACGGUGAGGGACGAAGCCCUGGGGCGCAAACCGGAUUAGAUACCCGGGUAGUCCAGGGUGUAAACGAUGUGGGCUUUGUAUUGGAGGUCCCACGUGGGCGUCCAGUGCAGAAGAGAAGUUGUUAAGCCCACCGCCUGGGAAGUACGGUCGCAAGGCUGAAACUUAAAGGAAUUGGCGGGGGAGCACAGCAACGGGAGGAGCGUGCGGUUU
rnacentral:rRNA from 1 species